rnacentral:rRNA from 1 species
AUUGAACGCUGGCGGCAGGCCUAACACAUGCAAGUCGAGCGGAUGAAGGGAGCUUGCUCCUGAUUCAGCGGCGGACGGGUGAGUAAUGCCUAGGAAACUGCCUGGUAGUGGGGGAUAACGGCCGGAAACGGGCGCUAAUACCGCAUACGUCCUGAGGGAGAAAGUGGGGGAUCUUCGGACCUCACGCUAUCAGAUGAGCCUAGGUCGGAUUAGCUAGUUGGUGGGGUAAAGGCCUACCAAGGCGACGAUCCGUAACUGGUCUGAGAGGAUGAUCAGUCACACUGGAACUGAGACACGGUCCAGACUCCUACGGGAGGCAGCAGUGGGGAAUAUUGGACAAUGGGCGAAAGCCUGAUCCAGCCAUGCCGCGUGUGUGAAGAAGGUCUUCGGAUUGUAAAGCACUUUAAGUUGGGAGGAAGGGCAGUAAGUUAAUACCUUGCUGUUUUGACGUUACCAACAGAAUAAGCACCGGCUAACUUCGUG